CCAGGUCCUCUUCACCUUCCAGAGCAGCUUCGGCAGAGACAAGUCUCACACACAUCCUCCCACCUGGCCUGCGGCCUCCCUUCCCUGUCCUGCUCCUCCCCUUGUGGACUCAUCUCUGAAGCUUUCUCCAUACUUCUCACUCCCUGCAGCUCUUCUAGAACCCUCAGCAAGCUCAGCUGGCCUGACUGCAUUGAAGGGUGCUGAGCUCUGCCCCACUUCUCAGACACAAUAACCCACUUCUCC
rnacentral:lncRNA from 1 species